GGAGAGAGAGAGAGUGAGCAUUUCCCAUGCCAAUAAAGCCCUUAAAUUGAAUUGAAUUGAGAGACAGAGAGGGAGGGAGAGCGAGUAAGAGUGAGAGUGAAAGAAAUAACUGGAGAGGACCAUUUUUGGAAGCAGAAUAAACAGAGGAUGAGAGCGUGGGAGCAAUCUUGGGAGCAAUCCUUGGAGGAGGGGCGGUUGAAGUAGUGGAAGCUAAUAUUAUGGAUGAACUACAGGAAAUCAAAUCAAAAUGUUUUCUAAAUGCAUGCCUGAGGUGGAAUUGAUCUUCACUCAGAAGAGCGGGAGAGGAAUAUCUGGUUUCAAAGAAAGAAAGAAAGAAAGAAAGAAAAAGAAAGAAAGAAAGAAAGAAAAAGAAAGAAAGAAAGAAAGAAAGAAAGAAAGAAAGAAAGAAAGAAAGAAAGAAAGAAAGAAAGAAAGAACAAUGGUGACUUGUGAAAAGAGAAAGAGUCAAACAAGUAAGAGGAGACCUGGGGAGAAAUCAGAAUAAAUACUCUGGAUAAACAAUACUAGACACAUUGGAGCAUGUUAAACAUAGCGAGAAGAGAGAGAGAGAGAGAGAGAGAGAGAAGAGGGAGUGAAUGAAUCUAGCAGACCAAGGCUUCGACAACAAGCAAGGAUGCAAUUAUGUGAUUAUAUUUCACAUCUGGAGAGAAAUCUGAUUUUUAAAAUCUGGAUUAACAAUACUAGGCACACGGGAGAAUGUUCAACAUAGCGAGAAGAGAUAGAGAGAGAGAGAGACUUCUUAUAAGUACUUCUUAGAAGUGCAACACAGCCGGCCACCGUCAUGUAUGGAUGUCAUGCUAUGAGGAUAGCUCAUAAACACAUGGAGACGUGACUCUUCACAGACUGCCCACAAGAGAGAUAUCACAUUGCUACUAUGCAGAGAUGACCACAUCUGAAUAUUUUAUGGUGUCAAGUCCAUGCACAAGUAAUAACACAUUAUAGAAAAACCACGAGGAAUUUAAUUUAGACUGUACAAUGUAGGAAAUUACCAUUCCAUGUAAAUCAAUGAUUUUAAAUAUAAUUAUUGAAAGUGUUGCAGAGGCACAGUACAAUACGACCAUUAUUAUUUACAGAUUGUGUAAGAGAUUAUGAUGAAUAUAUACUAUGACCGAUAUACAGGUAACUGGCAAAAUAAAGGAAACACCAACAUAAAGUGUCUUAAUAGGGUGUUGGGGCACCACUAGCCGCCGGAAAACAGCUUCAAUCCACCUUUGCCUAGAUUCUACAAGUGUUUGACACCUUUCCUUCCAUCAUUUGGUGUGUUGUUGACUGUGGUGGAGAUCUGGUGAUCUGAGACACACACACACACACACACACACACACACACACACACACACAAAUAAUGGGCAACUGGCUGGGCAUUUUUUAUAUGACCCUAAGCAUGGUGGGAUGUUCAUUUCUUAAUUAACCUGCUUUCAAUAUACUUUGUAUCCCUCAUUUACGCUUUAGUAGGCCUAAGAGUUGUGUUUUGGAAAUAUAGAAUGAGGGCAUCUGUUGUCUAUUAAUGUGAAACUAUCAUUCAGUUGAUAUCAGGAUCCAAAUUAGCCUGGUCCCAGAUCUGUUUUUGCUGCUUUGCCUAUUGUCAUGGCAAGGCAGCAUAGACAGAUCUGGGACCAGGCUAGAUCCAGAUCACUCAGAACCAAACAAAGUGCCUGUAUUGUUAUAGCCAGUGCUUGACUUGAACUGAAACAUGCUCCGGUACUCGUUUUGGGUGCCUGUACUCUUUAUAUUCACAAUACUUUUGAGCUAAUAUUCAAUAAGAGGAACAGGAGCUCAAGCAGUAGAACAUUUGAGGCGCCGGUACUCAGCUCCAGUGAGCUCCUGGCCAAGUCAAGCACUGGUUAUAGCAGCAAUAUAAUAAAUAGUAGAGAGAGGGGCCUCCCUAGCCUGGUCCCAGAUCUGCUGUCUUGCCAACUGACCAUAGGAGUUGGCAAUACAACACAAACAGAUCUGGGACCAGGCUAGGGCCCAUCCUAGGAUAAUACAGUAUUUACUGUAGGCCUUAUAAUACAGAUCUGGUAGUAGAGAGGCCUUAUAAUACAAUAUAAUACAGCAUUUACUGUAGUAGAGGGACCCCACACAUAGGACAAUAUAAUACAGUAUUUACUGUAGUAGAGGGGCCUCACACAUAGGACAAUAUAAUACAGUAUUUACUGUAGUAGAGGGGCCUCACACAUAGGACAAUAUAAUACAGUAUUUACUGUAGUAGUGGGGCCUCACACAUAGGACAAUAUAAUACAGUAUUUACUGUAGUAGAGGGGCCUCACACAUAGGACAAUAUAAUACAGUAUUUACUGUAGUAGAGGGGCCUCACACAUAGGACAAUAUAAUACAGUAUUUACUGUAGUAGAGGGGCCUCACACAUAGGACAAUAUAAUACAGUAUUUACUGUAGUAGUGGGGCCUCACACAUAGGACAAUAUAAUACAGUAUUUACUGUAGUAGUGGGGCUUCCCUCCAGACAGACAAACCACAAAAAGCAGGGAUCAGAUUCAUAUUAUGUCAGACCUCAAGUCAUGUUAUAUGUUCCACAUGUGUUUAUAUCUCUAAUUUAUUCUAUGUCUAAACAAACGAGAAAGGGACAUGUUUAAGUUCCCGUUGUUGCUACCUUAUGUUCAUGCAUGUAGCGACGUAUGUAUGUCUGUUUUUGUUAUAUUUUCUAUUCCUUAUAUUUAUUUAUAAUAAUACACUAAAUUGACCCUUCAACUGCAUGACAGACUUAUGACAACAAUAAUCUGUUACACACCUUUCUUUAAGAUCAUUAUUACUAUGAUAGCUACAUGCGUACACUUUGUAACUUUACGUGUGUAUUAAAAGAGAUUAAAUCCACAUGUCUGCGCCUACCAAUUUCAAAUGAGACUUUGACCCAUGUGGUUUGUGAACUGUGUUUACGAAAAUGUGUGAUUUUACAUGUCUUUAUUGUGUGACCAGACGGCACAGGAUAACUAAAUGAACAAGACGUUUUCAGACCAGUAGGCCAGUUACAGUGGGCUGAUGGUCAUGACGGCUCAGUGCUUCAUCUGCAUGAUUUGUGUUCAGGUUUCAACCUUAUACCCUUUUCACGCGAGCCGUAGUGUUCCCGCCUGGUUCCCGUGUCGUCCACCAUAGUUGCUGUAACCGUAAAGGGAUGACGUUCGAAUAAAACACGCAAGCCAGUUUGAAAAGAGUAUUACAGUUCUGUGGGAUCUCUUCCAGAACAGAGAUGAUGUGUAUCUCUCCUGCACUCUUUCUAGCCUGGCUUUAAUAUAUUUUCCAUCCGUUACAACUACUGUAUAUUCUCUACGAAUGACAUUGCGGCUCGGCUCCGUAGUGUGUAAAGAGUGUCAUGUCCUCUGGAAGUUACAAACAAACAAACACAUUUCUAUUGACAAAAAGGAGGUGGAUUGCUGUUGUUGUUUUCGUUGUAUGUUCAUUGUUUUUUGUUGUUGUUGUUGAGAGCUCUAAGGGGCCAGGGAGCUUUUCUGUUCAGAUAGUUGUUUUUUUCUUGAUUUUCAACAGAUUCAUGAGCCAAGAAAAAUAUGUUUUCAAGGUGGAUUAUACUUUCCUGAAUGCGUCCGCUUGUGGCACAACCAACGAAUACACAAGAGGAUGGAAAUAAAAACACCAACUCCGGUGUAAGAAAAACAAGUUACCCACAAGAAUUACAAUAUCAUUCCUAGAAACGUUUCCCCUGUCUGUUUCCUUGUCUUCACUGGGGUAAUCUUGCAUGCAUAGCAGACUUCCUUGCCAACCUGGGGACAAGCCAAGGUUCUCUCUAGACACACACAAACAUUUGUUCAUAUAAAACCACUGGCUGUUAUAAAUCUUGAGUGCUGUCAGAGGUCAUUGAUAGAGCAUAGCCAGGGCAGGGUCAGUGGUCAUUUGUAAUCCGACAGGAGCUCGGCUCAGCUCAGAGCUCCAUCUGUGUCCAUAGGACAGGCCUGGGUUCAAAUAGUAUUAUUUAAAAAAAAAAUACUUUAAGCGUCUGC
ensembl:lncRNA